AGUGAACGCUGGCGGUAGGCCUAACACAUGCAAGUCUAACGAGAGGCGGACGGGUGAGGAAUCCAUCGGAAUCUACUCUGUCGUGGGGGCUAACGUAGGGAAACUUACGCUAAUACCGCAUACGAUUGAAUGAGCCGAUGUCGGUUGAGAGAGUUGGCGGGGUAAAGGCCCCCAAAGGCGACAAUCCGUAGCUGGUCUGAGAGGAUGAUCAGCCAAACGGGACCUGAGACACGGUCCAGACUCCUACGGGAGGCAGAAGUAGGUAAUAGUGGCCAAUGGGCGAAAGCCUGAGCCAGCCAUGCCGCGUGAGUGAAGAAGGCCUUCGGGUUGUAAAGCCCUUUUGUUGGGAAAGCGGUACCCAAAGAAUAAGCACCGGCUAAAUACGUGCCAGCAGCCGCGGUAAUAC
rnacentral:rRNA from 1 species